rnacentral:rRNA from 1 species
GACGAACUUUGGCGGCGUGCUUAACACAUGCAAGUCGAACGGAAAGGCCCUGCUUUUGUGGGGUGCUCGAGUGGCGAACGGGUGAGUAGCACGUGAGUAACCUGCCCUUGACUUUGGGAUAACUUCAGGAAACUGGGGCUAAUACCGGAUAGGAGCUCCUGCUGCAUGGUGGGGGUUGGAAAGUUUCGGCGGUUGGGGAUGGACUCGCGGCUUAUCAGCUUGUUGGUGGGGUAGUGGCUUACCAAGGCUUUGACGGGUAGCCGGCCUGAGAGGGUGACCGGCCACAUUGGGACUGAGAUACGGCCCAGACUCCUACGGGAGGCAGCAGUGGGGAAUAUUGCACAAUGGGCGGAAGCCUGAUGCAGCAACGCCGCGUGCGGGAUGACGGCCUUCGGGUUGUAAACCGCUUUCGCCUGUGACGAAGCGUGAGUGACGGUAAUGGGUAAAGAAGCACCGGCUAACUACGUGCCAGCAGCCGCGGUGAUACGUAGGGUGCGAGCGUUGUCCGGAUUUAUUGGGCGUAAAGGGCUCGUAGGUGGUUGAUCGCGUCGGAAGUGUAAUCUUGGGGCUUAACCCUGAGCGUGCUUUCGAUACGGGUUGACUUGAGGAAGGUAGGGGAGAAUGGAAUUCCUGGUGGAGCGGUGGAAUGCGCAGAUAUCAGGAGGAACACCAGUGGCGAAGGCGGUUCUCUGGGCCUUUCCUGACGCUGAGGAGCGAAAGCGUGGGGAGCGAACAGGCUUAGAUACCCUGGUAGUCCACGCUGUAAACGGUGGGUACUAGGUGUGGGGUCCAUUCCACGGGUUCCGUGCCGUAGCUAACGCUUUAAGUACCCCGCCUGGGGAGUACGGCCGCAAGGCUAAAACUCAAAGGAAUUGACGGGGCCCCGCACAAGCGGCGGAGCAUGCGGAUUAAUUCGAUGCAACGCGUAGAACCUUACCUGGGUUUGACAUGGAUCGGGAGUGCUCAGAGAUGGGUGUGCCUCUUUUGGGGUCGGUUCACAGGUGGUGCAUGCCUGUCGUCAGCUCGUGUCGUGAGAUGUUGGGUUAAGUCCCGCAACGAGCGCAACCCUUGUUCACUGUUGCCAGCACGUUAUGGUGGGGACUCAGUGGAGACCGCCGGGGUCAACUCGGAGGAAGGUGGGGAUGACGUCAAGUCAUCAUGCCCCUUAUGUCCAGGGCUUCACGCAUGCUACAAUGGCUGGUACAGAGAGUGGCGAGCCUGUGAGGGUGAGCGAAUCUCGGAAAGCCGGUCUCAGUUCGGGUUGGGGUCUGCAACUCGACCUCAUGAAGUCGGAGUCGCUAGUAAUCGCAGAUCAGCAACGCUGCGGUGAAUACGUUCCCGGGGCU